UACGUAGGGGGCGAGCGUUGUCCGGAUUUACUGGGCGUAAAGCGCGUGUAGGCGGCGGCUUAAGUCGGGUGUGAAAGCCCGGGGCUCAACCCCGGGAUGCCGCUCGAGACUGGGUCGCUUGAGGACGGAAGAGGGGCGUGGAAUUCCUGGUGUAGCGGUGAAAUGCGUAGAGAUCAGGAGGAACACCCGUGGCGAAGGCGGCGCCCUGGUCCGUUACUGACGCUGGAGACGCGAAAGCGCGGGGAGCGAACGGG
rnacentral:rRNA from 1 species